rnacentral:tRNA from 1 species
UCCUCGGUAGCUCAGCGGUAGAGCAUUCGACUGUUAAUCGAAUGGUCGCAGGUUCGAAUCCUGCCCGGGGAGC